UACGUAGGGUGCGAGCGUUAAUCGGAAUUACUGGGCGUAAAGCGUGCGCAGGCGGUUUUGUAAGCCAGAUGUGAAAGCCCCGGGCUUAACCUGGGAAUGGCAUUUGGGACUGCAAGGCUGGAGUGCGGCAGAGGAGACUGGAAUUCCCGGUGUAGCAGUGAAAUGCGUAGAUAUCGGGAGGAAUACCGAUGGCGAAGGCGGCAUCCUGGACCGGCAUUGACGCUGAGGCGCGAAAGCCAGGGGAGCAAACGGG
rnacentral:rRNA from 1 species